rnacentral:rRNA from 1 species
AUACGUAGGUGACAAGCGUUAUCCGGAUUUACUGGGCGUAAAGGGCGUGUAGGCGGUCUUGCAAGUCAGAAGUGAAAUUCCUGAGCUCAACUCGGGCGCUGCUUCUGAAACUGCAGGACUUGAGUGCUGGAGGGGAUAGCGGAAUUCCUAGUGGAGCGGUAAAAUGCGCAGAUAUUAGGAAGAACACCGGUGGCGAAGGCGGCUAUCUGGACAGUAACGGACGCUGAGGCGCGAAAGCGUGGGGAGCAAACAGGAUUAGAUCCCCUGGUAGUCCACGCCGUAAACGAUGAAUACUAGGCGUAGGGGGUAUCGACUCCCUCUGUGCCGCAGUUAACACAAUAAGUAUUCCGCCUGGGGAGUACGGCCGCAAGGUUGAAACUCAAAUGAAUUGACGGGG